UGCUACCAGAUUCCAGCUGUUUGCUCCCUUCUUCUGAGCAGCCAUCCUCUUAAUGAUUUCUGCAUGGGGUUCCCCUUCUCCCUUAGAACUCAAUCAUUAGGCUUACAGCUCAGAGGUUUAGGUCAGAUGUAUCUGAUACAAAGACUAUGUAUGAGGCAAGUUUCCUCCUGAAUGCUUGUGCUCAUUUCCUGGAAAAGACAUUUGUUUGCCUGGCCUGUGUGUGCUGUAUUGCCUACAACUCCUUAUCAGCCUUCUCCCUCUAACUUCAGGCUCCUAUCUUUUAAUCUUCUCUCAGGUUUACCUCUGUGCCUGGAGGUAAUCUGCCUUCCCAGGCCAUGGACUUCUUACUCUCCUGCUCUGGUAUUGACCUUCUGCUGCUUUGAUCAGACUGGGCUCUGAUGUCCAAACUGUCUUAAGUCAGCUGUGGAAGUUACUAUAUGAAACCUAGGUGAUUUAUAAAAUAACAAAUUAGGCAGGCAAAACCAGAGGCAACUAAAAUAUAUUUGUGACUUUUAUAACUGCUUUAGGGACAUGAUUUCAGUUUUUAAGGCAACAGGUAUAUAGCUAGUUCUCCAGAAACAAGUACUAUGGAAUCAUAGAAUGGUUUGGGUUGGAAGGGACUUCAAAGAUCAUGCAGUUACAAUCCUCAUCUUAAAGCCUAUUACAAAGAAGAUUAUCAACAUCCUCUACAAACAAGUGAGAUAUACAGAACAAACCUGUGGAUUAAAUACCAUCUCUUUUGCAAAUGGCCUUACAGAAUUAAAUAAAAUUAAUAAAUAAUUUAAACAAGAAUAAAUAGUCUGUGGAGGUGAGGAUUAGGAGAAAAAGUGGUGCAGGCCAAGGGAGAAUAAGCUCUAUUAAAAAUACCCCAACAAAUACACAUGAAAGGAGACAAAGUAGAGGAAUAGGAGAUGGUGAACUGCAUAGGGCAGUGCUGUUGUACUUAGAAAAAUAAGUAAAUGGAAAGAAAAAGGAUCUUCUGUUCUAAGGCAUGAGGUUACCACGCAAAAAUGAUGUCAUGCCUCUUGUUUUUUUUCUGUCUCACUCUCUGAAAAUACAGCAUGGGAGUAUAGAAGAAUUGAGAUUACUACGUCGCAUUCAUUAUCAUGUCUAAUGGAAGUUACAACACUGUUAUCACAUGUAGCCAUGACAUCCUACUACGGCUUUCUUCAAGGACCUUCAAGAGCAAAACUGCAGAGCUUCCUUCAGUUAAACACAUUUGGUGUCUGCUGUCUUUGGUAGAGGUCUUACUAGUUAAAUAAUGGCAUCAGCAUAAAGGAAACACCUCUCCUGAUAAACUGAAGAACCACAUUUGUCAUUUUUAUGGCUGCAUCAUUGGGUAUUUGGACAACUGUGGCGAUUCCACAGAUGUACAGACUGCCCCUUGGGAAUGCUAUUUAUAAACUCAAAAGCGGCUGAGCAGCACUCACAAAAAGGCCACCAGUUUCAAGAAAAUUAAUGACAAUCUCACAUUGUUUGGGAAUGAAGAGACAAGAGGCAUUGUGUUAAGCUUAAAGCAUGAAGCAACAGACAAGUAUGUUUGCAGUCCUUUGUCUUGACCUGUCUAAGGUUGUGAUAUUGAUGAAAAUGCACUACUCACUGUGUGUCAGCUUAGAAAAAUUACUACAGGAAAACGUAAACAUACAGAUAACUCCAUAUCCUUUCUCCAAAAGGCUUUAGGAGUCCCCUGUCACAGAUCACUACAGAGAAUAUUGUGUCUUCAUGUCAUGGG